rnacentral:rRNA from 1 species
AAUCGAACCCGGAGAUAGCUGGUUCUCCCCGAAAUAGCUUUAGGGCUAGCGUCGCAGCGAGAGAGCCGUGAAGGUAGAGCACUGAAUAUGCGAUGGCCGCAUCCCGCGGUACUGAGCAUAAUCAAACUCCGAAUGUCACGGUGUCAUCUGCGGCAGUCAGACGGCGAGUGAUAAGGUCCGUCGUCAAGAGGGAAACAGCCCAGACCAUCAGCUAAGGUCCCAAAGUGCAUGCUAAGUGGAAAAGGAAGUGGAGACGUGCAGACAACUAGGAGGUUGGCUCAGAAGCAGCCAUCCUUCAAAGAGUGCGUAACAGCUCACUAGUCGAAUGACUCUGCGCCGAUAAUUUACCGGGGCUAAGCAUGACACCGAAGCUAUGGACAGGAAUGUGGUAGGGGAGCAUUGCAUGCAGCGGAGAAGCAUGACCGAAAGGGCAUGUGGAGCGCAUGGAAGAGAGAAUGCCGGCGUGAGUAGCGGCACGUGGGUGAGAAUCCCACGCACCGAUGGCCCAAGGUCUCCAGAGGAAGGCUCGUCCUCUCUGGGAUAGUCGGGACCUAAGGCGAGGCCGAAAGGCGUAGCCGAUGGACGACGGGUGGAUAUUCCCGUACCCGAUGUGUGGCGAUGGAGUGACGGAGAAGGCUCAGGCAACCAGCUGCUGGAAUAGCUGGGGCAAGCGAGAUACCUGCGCACCAGGGAAAUCCGGUGCGCAUAAGGGGAAGGCGCGAUGCAUACGGAAAGCUUCGGCAAGUACGGAAAAGCUGAGAGCAGGCUUCCAGGAAAAGCUUCUAGCACAACACACAUCGGCCCGUACCGAAAAUGGACACACAUGGGCAAGGAGAGAAUCCUGAGGUGAGCGAGAGAACUAUAGCUAAGGAACUCUGCAAAAUGACCCCGUAACCUAGGGAGAAGGGGUGCUCCAGAAAUGGAGCCGCAGUAAAACGGCCCAAGCGACUGUUUACCAAAAACACAGCUCUCUGCGAAGGCGCAAGCCGAAGUAUAGGGGGUGACGCCUGCCCGGUGCUGGAAGGUCAAGGGGAGCUGUCAGCGCAAGCGAAGCAGCGAGCCGAAGCCCCAGUAAACGGCGGCCGUAACUAUAACGGUCCUAAGGUAGCGAAAUUCCUUGUCGGGCAAGUUCCGACCCGCACGAAAGGCGUAACGAUUUGGGCGCUGUCUCAGCUGUAGACUCGGUGAAGUCUUAGUACCUGUGAAGAUGCAGGUUGCCCGCGACUAGACGGAAAGACCCCAUGGAGCUUCACUGCAGGUUGACAUUGGGCUUGGAUGCAUGAUGUACAGGAUAGGUGGGAGGCUGUGAGCCGUGCGCGCCAGCGUACGGGGAGCCGCUGUUGGGAUACCACCCUUCAUGCAUCUAGGUCCUAACCGGAGGCAACGGGCCACGGGACAGUGUCAGUCGGGCAGUUUGACUGGGGCGGUCGCCUCCCAAAGAGUAACGGAGGCGCCCAAAGAUACCCUCAGCAUGGAUGGAAACCAUGCAUAGAGUGCAAAGGCAUAAGGGUGUCUGACUGCGAGACAUACAGGUCGAGCAGGGACGAAAGUCGGGCUUAGUGAUCCGGCGGAUCCGAAUGGAAGGGCCGUCGCUCAACGGAUAAAAGCUACCCUGGGGAUAACAGGCUGAUCUCCCCCAAGAGUUCACAUCGACGGGGAGGUUUGGCACCUCGAUGUCGGCUCAUCGCAUCCUGGAGCUGAAGUCGGUUCCAAGGGUUGGGCUGUUCGCCCAUUAAAGCGGUACGCGAGCUGGGUUCAGAACGUCGUGAGACAGUUCGGUCCCUAUCUGUCGUGGGCGCAGGAGGUUUGAGGAGAGCUGCCCCUAGUACGAGAGGACCGGGGUGGACGGACCGAUGGUGCACCAGUUGUCACGCCAGUGGCACAGCUGGGCAGCCAAGUCCGGACGGGAUAAGCGCUGAAGGCAUCUAAGCGUGAAGCCCCCUCCAAGAUGAGACCUCCCAUUGG